rnacentral:sRNA from 1 species
CACGGUACUUUUUGUAAUAUGUGAAUUUUUCUAUUUCGGUAAGUUUGCAUAUUGUCAAUUUAUUUUUUGGAGGUUUUUCAUUAUGAAAACUGGUACAGUAAAAUGGUUUAACGCAGAAAAAGGUUUUGGCUUCAUCGAAGUUGAAGGAGAAAACGACGUAUUCGUACACUUCUCAGCUAUCACAGGCGAAGGCUUCAAAUCACUUGACGAAGGCCAGCAGGUUGAGUUCGAAGUGGUUGAAGGUAACCGUGGACCACAAGCAGCUAACGUUGUAAAACUGUAAUUGUUGAUAUAAAACCGCUCUCUUAACAGAGAGCGGUUUUUU